rnacentral:rRNA from 1 species
GACGAACGCUGGCGGCGUGCUUAACACAUGCAAGUCGAACGGUGAAGCGCCUUCCUUUUUGGUGGGUGUGGAUGAGUGGCGAACGGGUGAGUAACACGUGAGUAACCUGCCCCCUUCUUCUGGAUAACCGCAUGAAAGUGUGGCUAAUACGGGAUAUUCUGGGUCUGUCGCAUGAUGGGUCUGGGAAAGAUAUUGUUUCGGUGGGGGAUGGGCUCGCGGCCUAUCAGCUUGUUGGUGGGGUGAUGGCCUACCAAGGCGGUGACGGGUAGCCGGCCUGAGAGGGUGGACGGUCACACUGGGACUGAGACACGGCCCAGACUCCUACGGGAGGCAGCAGUGGGGAAUAGUGCACAAUGGGCGCAAGCCUGAUGUAGCGACGCCGCGUGAGGGAUGGAGGCCUUCGGGUUGUGAACCUCUUUCGCCAGUGAAGCAGGCCUGCCUCGUUUGUGGGUGGGUUGACGGUAGCUGGAUAAGAAGCGCCGGCUAACUACGUG